rnacentral:sRNA from 1 species
UAAAUCCAAAAAUAUCAUCAAAUUAUGCAUCAACAUUAAGGGUGUCAAAAUGGAUCAAAAUUCAUGGAUCAAGUCAACUCAACUCAAUCCGUAAACUCUAAUGAGUUCAAAAUUUUGACUCAAAUGAGUUGAUGAGUCAAAUGAGUUGAUGAGUCAAUUGGUUUGAUGAGUAAAAUGAGUUGAUGAGUCAAUUGGUUUGAUGAGUAAAAUGAGUUGAUGAGUCAAUUGGUUUGAUGAGUAAAAUGAGUUGGGUUGUAAUGGUUAAUGGUUUCAAUGGUUUACCCAAUUAACCCAUCAAGUUUUGUAAAAUUGAAUUAAACCAACUAAAAUCUCUAAACCAAUGCCAAUUUAAGUUUAACCAACACAACUAAACCGAUUUAAUAAAAUUAAUAUUUU